UGGAAGUAAAAAUCGUAACAAGGUUUCCGUAGGUGAACCUGCGGAAGGAUCAUUAUUGAAGCUCGGAAUGCAUGUCCGGUGUUGAUGCUGCCCAGCAAUGGGAUGUGCUCGCUCG
rnacentral:rRNA from 1 species